UCGGGUUGUAAAGCACUUUUGUCCGGGAAGAAAUCUUCUGAGCUAAUACCUCGGGAGGAUGACGGUACCGGAAGAAUAAGCACCGGCUAACUACGUGCCAGCAGCGCGGUAAUCGUAGGGUGCAAGCGUUAAUCGGAAUUACUGGGCGUAAAGCGUGCGCAGGCGGUGAUGUAAGACCGAUGUGAAAUCCCCGGGCUCAACCUGGGAACUGCAUUGGUGACUGCAUUGCUCGAGUAUGGCAGAGGGGGGUGGAAUUCCACGUGUAGCAGUGAAAUGCGUAGAGAUGUGGAGGAACACCGAUGGCGAAGGCAGCCCCCUGGGCCGAUACUGACGCUCAUGCACGAAAGCGUGGGGAGCAAACAGGAUUAGAUACCCUGGUAGUCCACGCCCUAAACGGUGUCAACUGGUUGUCGGGCCUUCAUUGGCUUGGUAACGUAGCUAACGCGUGAAGUUGACCGCCUGGGGAGUACGGUCGCAAGAUUAAAACUCAAAGGAAUUGACGGGGACCCGCACAAGCGGUGGAUGAAGGUGGAUUAAUUCGAUGCAACGCGAAAAACCUUACCUACCCUUGACAUGUACGGAAUCCUGCUG
rnacentral:rRNA from 1 species